GCCCUCAUAGCUUAGUUAGCUAUAGCGCAGGUUUCGUAAACCUGAGGUCGCCGGUGCAACUCCGGCUGGGGGCU
rnacentral:tRNA from 1 species